GAGAAGCUGUAUGGAUCUAUAUUUAGCCAGUAUCUAGCCGACCCAGAAAACUUCUUUGUGAUCUCCUCCGACUUCUGUCACUGGGGACAGCGAUUCCGUUACACAUUCUACGAUAAGUCAUGUGGAGACAUCUGGCAAUCCAUCGAGGCCUUAGAUAAAAUGGGAAUGGAUGCAAUAGAACAAAUGGACCCAGCUAAAUUUUCUCACUACUUAAAGGAGUAUGAAAACACUAUAUGUGGCAGAUACCCAAUAGGUGUUCUCUUAAGUGCAAUAGACGCUCUUCGAAGAAACGGUAAUGGACGCAGAAUGUCAUUUAAAUUCAUGAACUAUGCCCAGUCAAGCCGCUGUAAGAAAAUGAGUGACUCCUCAGUUAGCUAUGCCUCAGGUGCCCUGCUCAUGCAGUGAAUGCUAGGGAAAUUUUGGACUCAUAGCUGCACAUGGACUUUUUAACAUGCCUUAUAUGUCCGUAUGUUUCUCAGUUUAGUACCCCACUUUGGAAUGCCACACAAUCUGAGCUCUGGAUGUUGCACUACUUUAUACGGAGAGAUCUGAUCAUUGAUGCAUGUUCAUCUGUACAUCUGUACGUCUGUACAUGUACUUAUAUUCACUGGUUUGUCACUGUAAAUCUCCAAGUUACAUUUUGCAAUUUUUGUAAUGUUGGCCUUUUUUGCGGUUAUUAUAAAUAAAUGUACAUGUAAUGAAGACAUUAAAUAAGACUUAGUACUGAAUAAAUGCUAAAUAAUU
rnacentral:misc_RNA from 1 species